rnacentral:rRNA from 1 species
UACGAAGGGGGCUAGCGUUGUUCGGAAUUACUGGGCGUAAAGCGCACGUAGGCGGCUUGUUAAGUCAGGGGUGAAAACCUGGAGCUCAACUCCAGAACUGCCUUUGAUACUGGCGAGCUUGAGUUCGGGAGAGGUGAGUGGAACUGCGAGUGUAGAGGUGAAAUUCGUAGAUAUUCGCAAGAACACCAGUGGCGAAGGCGGCUCACUGGCCCGAUACUGACGCUGAGGUGCGAAAGCGUGGGGAGCAAACAGG